UACGUAGGGGGCAAGCGUUGUCCGGAAUCAUUGGGCGUAAAGGGCGCGUAGGCGGACUUUUAAGUCGGGGGUGAAAGCCCAGGGCUCAACCCUGGAAUUGCCUUCGAUACUGGGAGUCUUGAGUUCGGAAGAGGUUGGUGGAACUGCGAGUGUAGAGGUGAAAUUCGUAGAUAUUCGCAAGAACACCAGUGGCGAAGGCGGCUCACUGGCCCGAUACUGACGCUGAGGACGAAAGCGUGGGGAGCAAACAGG
rnacentral:rRNA from 1 species